rnacentral:rRNA from 1 species
GAUGAACGCUGGCGGCGUGCUUAACACAUGCAAGUCGAACGGGAUCCAAGGGGUGCUUGCACUUUUUGGUGAGAGUGGCGAACGGGUGAGUAACACGUGAGUAACCUGUCCUUUUCUUUGGGAUAAGCAUUCGAAAGGGUGUUUAAUACCUUAUGUUCUGUCUGCCUCGCAUGGGGUGGGUGGGAAAGGCUUUGGCCGGAUUUGGGUGGGCUCGCGGUCUAUCAGCUUGUUGGUGGGGUGAUGGCUUACCAAGGCUUUGACGGGUAGCCGGCCUGAGAGGGUGGGCGGUCACAUCGGGACUGAGAGACGGCCCAGACUCCUGCGGGAGGCAGCGGUGGGGGAUAUUGCACAAUGGGCGAAAGCCGGAUGCAGCGACGCCGCGUGGGGGAUGGAGGCCUUCGGGGUGUAAACGUCUUUUGCUCUGAACAAGGCAUGCCAGUGGGUGUGUGGAGUGUAGGGGUUGAUUAGCGCCGGCUAACUACGUG